AGAAUCAACGCUGGCGGCGUGCCUAACACAUGCAAGUCGAACGAGAAAGGGACUUCGGUCCUGAGUACAGUGGCGCACGGGUGAGUAACACGUGACUAACCUACCCUGGAGUGGGGAAUAACUGAGGGAAACCUUAGCUAAUACCGCAUAAUACCUACGGGUCAAAGGAGCAAUUCGCUUCAGGAGGGGGUCGCGGCCGAUUAGCUAGUUGGCGGGGUAAUGGCCCACCAAGGCAAUGAUCGGUAUCCGGCCUGAAAGGGCGCACGGACACACUGGAACUGAAACACGGUCCAGACUCCUACGGGAGGCAGCAGUGGGGAAUUUUGCGCAAUGGGGAAACCCUGACGCAGCAACGCCGCGUGGAGGAUGAAAUCCCUUGGGAUGGUAAACUCCUUUCGAUCGGGACGAUUAUGACGGUACCGGAAGAAGAAGCCCGGCUAACUUCGCGCCAGCAGCCGC
rnacentral:rRNA from 1 species